rnacentral:rRNA from 1 species
CAGACUCCUACGGGAGGCAGCAGUGGGGAAUAUUGGACAAUGGGCGAAAGCCUGAUCCAGCAAUGCCGCGUGAGUGAAGAAGGCCUUCGGGUUGUAAAGCUCUUUUACCCGGGAUGAUAAUGACCGUACCGGGAGAAUAAGCCCCGGCUAACUCCGUGCCAGCAGCCGCGGUAAUACGGAGGGGGCUAGCGUUGUUCGGAAUCACUGGGCGUAAAGCGUACGUAGGCGGCUAUUCAAGUCAGAGGUGAAAGCCUGGGGCUCAACCCCAGAACUGCCUUUGAAACUAGGUAGCUAGAACACGGGAGAGGUGAGUGGAAUUCCGAGUGUAGAGGUGAAAUUCGUAGAUAUUCGGAAGAACACCAGUGGCGAAGGCGGCUCACUGGACCGUUGUUGACGCUGAGGUACGAAAGCGUGGGGAGCAAACAGGAUUAGAUACCCUGGUAGUCCACGCCGUAAACGAUGAGAACUAGCUGUCGGGGCUCUUAGAGCUUCGGUGGCGCAGCUAACGCAUUAAGUUCUCC